rnacentral:misc_RNA from 1 species
AACCAUAGAAACCUGCGGAGUACCUGCGGAGGGAUCAUUAUAGUAUAUGGAAUCUCCAUUCUAUAAACCCACUCUGCGUAUCUUGUAACUGUUGCUUCCAUGGGACUUGGUUCCGCCACACCGGCCUCACGGCUGGUGAGCGCCCAUGGAAGGAGAAACAAAACUCUUCUUUGAAAUGUAGUCAGUCUGAACAAGUUUUUAUAAACGUUAAAACUUUUAGCAACGGAUCUCAGAUCGGAA